AAAAUAUCCAUAAAUGCAGUUAACAAGUUCACAUAAGUCAUAACUUGGACUAAACUUCAUAAAAUCAAGAUCUAAAGUUGGGAGAUCUGUGAAUUUUUGAAGGUGUCCGGUUUUUUCCUCUGGAUCUUCCUUCUCCAUGCUGAAGUUGGAAAGAGGUGCACCUAUCAAUAGGAUGGAUCCUUUAUUGUGUAAAAUGCUCUCUUUGUUGGAUUCUGCACAACAGGUGGUUUCCAGGCAGAGCAGAGAGCCUACAGGAGGAUGGACACAACACCUGUCCCCCAGGGUCCCACUCUAUGACCCCCAUAAAUGCCUCACCAAGCAGGACACCUGAGAGUUGCAUGGACAGCUGCCCUGCAGUGAUAAAAACGCCAUGUGGGGAUGGUGACAAUGACAAAAGUUGUCGUGUGCUGGGAUGUUGCUACCAACAGAAAGACUACAGUCCCGCUGCAGGAAGAGGAUGGGCCCAGAGCAGUCUGUGGAGGUAGUGGGAAGUCUCAUUAAAAGGCAAGGGCUGGGGAUGAGGCGCGUGGGAUCAGGCACACAGCAUAUAAGGACGACAGAUGGCAUGAAAUCCACCUCUUCAUUCCUUCUUCCUCAAGGAGGUCAUACUGAUGGGAAAUGUGCCAAAAUUUUGCAGUCUCAAAGCUUGAGUAAAGAGUUAUUACGUUUCCAUGAUUCAGAAAGCAAGUAUUUUCAUGAAAUAAGGAUCAGCCUGUUUCAAUCAGAUUGGCUCCUCCAGCUGCAGAAGAACCCCCAUAUUCAUGGUGAAAGGUAAUUUUGAACCAGGGAGAGAUUGUAAUAAACUCAGACAGUGUCAUUUCUCUGCUCCUUCUAUGGAUGCAGCAAAAAGACUGAUGAUGUGUUGUCACCACUUGUUGAUUUCUUAUUUCACACCAACACAAGGUAGAGCAUCUCAUGGGGAAGGCACAGUCUCAUCAUCAGGGUUCCAAUCUCUUGCAUCACGUUGAGGUCAGCCUCUUGUUUUGCCUUCAUCUUUAUAAAUUGUUCUCAUCUUUCUCUGUUCAUCAGAUCUGUGCUUGCUUUCACUGAGGUCCCACCUGGCCUCUCAUUCUCCUGUGACAGGUUCAGACCUUGGGAUCGCACCAAGUAGAGCCUGAAGCUCUGCACAAGUUGCGAGUGCUGUAGAUGGCACUCUUUGAUCCCACUCAGUCAAAGUUUCCCACCAAUCACUGCAGGGCAGUUGGAGGUGCUGCCGUUCAGCUGAGACAUAAAACAGAGGUUCAGGCAAAUUGCCAUCAUUAAAAAUGCCACAGCACUUCUGCAGCAACAGUAGGAGUACUAGCUCCAGUGAUCAAGCCAACGUUUAAUCUGAGUAAUUUACAUGCUAGUUACCCAGAAUUCUCCCAAUGAUUUCAAGCAGAUAAGGCAAUUUAAGAGUUUUUUGCUUUGUUUUGUUUUGUUUUCCUUUUCUCUGCCACACUCUAUAGUGAUGCUGUGUUGUUACACAGUUGUUGCAUUUAACCUCGAG
ensembl:lncRNA